rnacentral:rRNA from 1 species
UAGGGAAUCUUCCACAAUGGACGCAAGUCUGAUGGAGCAACGCCGCGUGAGUGAAGAAGGUUUUCGGACCGUAAAGCUCUGUUGUUGGUGAAGAAGGAUAGAGGUAGUAACUGGCCUUUAUUUGACGGUAAUCAACCAGAAAGUCACGGCUAACUACGUGCCAGCAGCCGCGGUAAUACGUAGGUGGCAAGCGUUGUCCGGAUUUAUUGGGCGUAAAGCGAGCGCAGGCGGAAGAAUAAGUCUGAUGUGAAAGCCCUUGGCUUAACCGAGGAAUUGCAUCGGAAACUGUUUUCUUGAGUGCAGAAGAGGAGAGUAGAACUCCAUGUGUAGCGGUGGAAUGCGUAGAUAUAUGGAAGAAUACCAGUGGCGAAGGCGGCUCUCUGGUCUGCAACUGACGCUGAGGCUCGAAAGCAUGGGUAGCGAACAGGAUUAGAUACCCUGGUAGUCCAUGCCGUAAACGAUGAGUGCUAAGUGUUGGGAGGCUUCCGCCUCUCAGUGCUGCAGCUAACGCAUUAAGCACUCCGCCUGGGGGAGUACGACCGCAAGGUUGAAAC